rnacentral:rRNA from 1 species
ACAACGGUGAGUUUGAUCGUGUCUCAGGAUGAAGGCUAGCGACAGGCCUAACCCAUGCAAGUCGAGGGGUAACAGGGGAGCUUGCUCCCGCUGACGACCGGCGCACGGGUGAGUAACGCGUAUGCAACCUGCCCACGGGAUCGGGAUAGCCCCCCGAAAGGGGGAUUAACACCGGAUGAGGCGGACGAGGGGCAUCCCUUUGUCCGUCAAAUGCGAAGCUCGUGGAUGGGCAUGCGUCCGAUUAGCUAGUUGGCGGGGUAACGG